rnacentral:ncRNA from 1 species
CAAACGGCCCUUUUAAGGGCCACCACUUGCCCAUAAAAGAGCUGU